rnacentral:rRNA from 1 species
GAUGAACGCUGGCGGCGUGCCUAAUACAUGCAAGUCGAGCGAACAGAUAAGGAGCUUGCUCCUUUGACGUUAGCGGCGGACGGGUGAGUAACACGUGGAUAACCUACCUAUAAGACUGGGAUAACUUCGGGAAACCGGAGCUAAUACCGGAUAACAUAUUGAACCGCAUGGUUCAAUAGUGAAAGGCGGCUUUGCUGUCACUUAUAGAUGGAUCCGCGCCGUAUUAGCUAGUUGGUAAGGUAACGGCUUACCAAGGCAACGAGACGUAGCCGACCUGGGAGGGUGAACGGCAACACUGGACCUGAGACACGGUCCAGACUCCUACGGGAGGCAGCAGUAGGGAAGCUUCCGCAAUGGGCGAAAGCCUGACGGAGCAACGCCGCGUGAGUGAUGAAGGUCUUCGGAUCGUAAAACUCUGUUAUCAGGGAAGAACAAAUGUGUAAGUAACUGUGCACAUCUUGACGGUACCAGAUCAGAAAGCCACGGCUAACUACGUGCCAGCCGCCGCCGUAA